rnacentral:rRNA from 1 species
GUAGGGAAUUUUGCGCAAUGGGGGCAACCCUGACGCAGCGACGCCGCGUGAGUGAUGAAGGCCUUCGGGUUGUAAAGCUCUGUCAAGCUGGACGAAUGCUGGUGAGUCUAAUAGGCUCGCUAGGUGACGGUACAGCAGGAGGAAGCACCGGCUAACUCUGUGCCAGCAGCCGCGGUAAUACAGAGGGUGCAAGCGUUAUUCGGAAUUACUGGGCGUACAGCGCAUGUAGGUGGGUAUAUAAGUCAGUUGUGAAAUCCUUAGGCUUAACCUAAGAAUUGCAAUUGAUACUGUAUAUCUUGAGGUCGGUAGAGGAUAGUGGAAUUCCUGGUGUAGAGGUGAAAUUCGUAGAUAUCAGGAGGAACACCUGAGGCGAAGGCGGCUAUCUGGACCGAAACUGACACUUAAGUGCGAGAGCGUGGGUAGCAAACAGGAUUAGAUACCCCUGUAGUCC